CCCUUAGAUGGUCUGGGCGGCACGCGCGCUACAAUGAUGCAUUCAAAAAGUCUUCUGACCUUAGAAGGUUGGGUAUUCUCCAAAGUGCAUCGUGAUGGGAAUAGUUUAUUGCAAUUUUUAAUCUUGAACGAGGAAUUCCUAGUAAGUACAGGUCAUCAACUUGUGUUGAUUGCGUCCCUGCCCUUUGUACACACCGCCCGUCGCUCCUACUGAUUGAGUGUCUCGGUGAAUUCUUUGAUCUUCUGUCGAUUCAGUUCACUGAUCCGACGGUGGAAAGUUGAAUGAACUUCGUCACUUAGAGGAAGGAGAAGUCGUAACA
rnacentral:rRNA from 1 species